rnacentral:rRNA from 1 species
ACUGAACGCUGGCGGCAUGCCUUACACAUGCAAGUCGAACGGCAGCACGGGUGCUUGCACCUGGUGGCGAGUGGCGAACGGGUGAGUAAUACAUCGGAACAUGUCCUGUAGUGGGGGAUAGCCCGGCGAAAGCCGGAUUAAUACCGCAUACGAUCUACGGAUGAAGGCGGGGGACCUUCGGGCCUCGCGCUAUAGGGUUGGCCGAUGGCUGAUUAGCUAGUUGGUGGGGUAAAGGCCUACCAAGGCGACGAUCAGUAGCUGGUCUGAGAGGACGACCAGCCACACUGGGACUGAGACACGGCCCAGACUCCUACGGGAGGCAGCAGUGGGGAAUUUUGGACAAUGGGCGAAAGCCUGAUCCAGCAAUGCCGCGUGUGUGAAGAGGGCCUUCGGGUUGUAAAGCACUUUUGUCCGGAAAGAAAUCCUUGGCCCUAAUACGGUCGGGGGAUGACGGUACCGGAAGAAUAAGCACCGGCUAACUACGUG